UGGGGAAUAUUGCACAAUGGGCGCAAGCCUGAUGCAGCCAUGCCGCGUGUAUGAAGAAGGCCUUCGGGUUGUAAAGUACUUUCAGCGGGGAGGAAGGCGAUGUGGUUAAUAACCGCGUCGAUUGACGUUACCCGCAGAAGAAGCACCGGCUAACUCCGUGCCAGCAGCCGCGGUAAUACGGAGGGUGCAAGCGUUAAUAGGAAUUACUGGGCGUAAAGCGCACGCAGGCGGUCUGUCAAGUCGGAUGUGAAAUCCCCGGGCUCAACCUGGGAACUGCAUCCGAAACUGGCAGGCUUGAGUCUCGUAGAGGGGGGUAGAAUUCCAGGUGUAGCGGUGAAAUGCGUAGAGAUCUGGAGGAAUACCGGUGGCGAAGGCGGCCCCCUGGACGAAGACUGACGCUCAGGUGCGAAAGCGUGGGGAGCAAACA
rnacentral:rRNA from 1 species